UUGAACGCUGGCGGCAUGCUUUACACAUGCAAGUCGAACGGCAGCGCGGGCUUCGACCUGGCGGCGAGUGGCGAACGGGUGAGUAAUACAUCGGAACGUGCCCAGUAGUGGGGGAUAGCUCGGCGAAAGCCGGAUUAAUACCGCAUACGACCUGAGGGUGAAAGCGGGGGAUCUUCGGACCUCGCGCUAUUGGAGCGGCCGAUGGCAGAUUAGCUAGUUGGUGGGGUAAAGGCCUACCAAGGCGACGAUCUGUAGCUGGUCUGAGAGGACGACCAGCCACACUGGGACUGAGACACGGCCCAGACUCCUACGGGAGGCAGCAGUGGGGAAUUUUGGACAAUGGGCGAAAGCCUGAUCCAGCAAUGCCGCGUGUGUGAUGAAGGCCUUCGGGUUGUAAAGCACUUUUGGCGGGAACGAAAAGGACUGUGCCAAUACCACGGUUCGAUGACGGUACCCGCAGAAUAAGCACCGGCUAACUACGUG
rnacentral:rRNA from 1 species